rnacentral:piRNA from 1 species
UGGAUAAUGUAGGUGCUAACAGU